rnacentral:rRNA from 1 species
GACGAACGCUGGCGGCGUGCUUAACACAUGCAAGUCGAACGGAAAGGCCCCUUUGGGGGUACUCGAGUGGCGCACGGGUGAGUAACACGUGAGUAACCUGCCCUUGACUUCGGGAUAACUUCAGGAAACUGGGGCUAAUACCGGAUAGGAAUCCUUGCUGCAUGGUGGGGGUUGGAAAGCUUCGGCGGUUUUGGAUGGACUCGCGGCUUAUCAGCUUGUUGGUGGGGUAGUGGCUUACCAAGGCUUUGACGGGUAGCCGGCCUGAGAGGGCGACCGGCCACAUUGGGACUGAGAUACGGCCCAGACUCCUACGGGAGGCAGCAGUGGGGAAUAUUGCACAAUGGGCGGAAGCCUGAUGCAGCAACGCCGCGUGCGGGAUGACGGCCUUCGGGCUGGAAACCGCUUUCAGCAGGGGCGAAGCUUGUGGUGACGGUACCUGCAGAAGAAGCACCGGCUAACUACGUG